GAACUGGACACAUUAUUCCAGCUGCAUUCUCAACAGAGCCAAAUACAGAGGAUAAGGACACAGUCUUCUGGCCAGCUGCAGAUGAAAAUUUCAGAAUUGGUUUCCAACUACUUAAGAAAUCUUCUACAGUCACACUGCCGAUUCCUGAAAUGUGGACAGUCCAAAAAGACAGAAAAAGAAAAACUACCUCUGACCUCCCUGUCUAUACAACGGGGCAAGACACUUUAUGCCAAUCACGACACCUCAUGGUGGACACAAGACUGUCAGGGUUCAAACUCUGCUUGCCUUGUGAUGAACUCAUUUCCCUUCAAGGUUCGUUGGAGUUGAUGCCUCUUCUGCAUGGGUGAGAUACGCAUCCCAGAUAGGUGCUCUGUGUGAAAGUCCUUUUCUGCCAUAUAUAGAGAUACUAAUUUCAAGCAACACCUGCUGAAGCAGCCCAGGCAGGUUGCUUCAGACCCAGAGAUGAUGGUAAUGAUGAAAGUCUGGAUAAGUUCACAUUGGCUAGUGCUCCCUCUAGCACACAUUGUACCCUGGGAUCAGGAGGUGAAGUGAAUGCUGACGGAGGCAGCACCAGUCACUUGGACGCUGACCAUCUCAGCAUCAGCAAAAUCUUUGGCACUGAAAAUAUUAGCAAUGGCAGCCAAGGUGCCCGACUUGUCCCCUACCCACCACUUUUCCCAUCCCUCAAGUGACCCUUUUGUUAAGAACCAAACAGAAAUGUCCUCAUUGCUUUGUCCAAGAGCCAUAGAAGAGGUAUCACCAGACUAUAGGGAGAAAAGCUUCUAGUGUCAAUAUUUCCUUAUCCUGAGAAGAAAGAGGGGUCUUCAUCCUAUCCUAGACCUGAGGAAACUGAACAGAUUCAGGAUGGUAAUGCUUGCCUCAUUAUCCCAUCUCUUCAGGCUUAAGACUGGUUUGAAACUCUCAGUUUAAAGGACGGGUGCAUCCACAUAGACAUCCACUCAGUCUACAAGAAACAUUGAAGCUUCAUAGUGGGGCCCAGCCAUUAACAAUGUAUUUUCCCUAGUCUCAUUCUCAGAAACAGCUGCACUAUUUUGAUAGACAUAUUCAGCCUGAGGCAGACACCUGACAUGAAAAAUUUCAACUCAAAUAGUUAAUCUGGUAAAGUUAUA